rnacentral:rRNA from 1 species
ACAGCAGCAGCCACGGGAAUACGGAGGGUGCGAGCGUUAAUCGGAAUUACUGGGCGUAAAGCGUACGCAGGCGGUUUGUUAAGUCAGAUGUGAAAUCCCCGAGCUUAACUUGGGAACUGCAUUUGAAACUGGCAAGCUAGAGUCUUAUAGAGGGGGGUAGAAUUCCAGGUGUAGCGGUGUAAUGCGUAGAGAUCUGGAGGAAUACCGGUGGCGAAGGCGGCCCCCUGGACAAAGACUGACGCUCAGGUGCGAAAGCGUGGGGAGCAAACAGGAUUAGAUACCCCGGUAGUCCCUGUCUCUUAUAC